GUUGGAUUUCUUUAUAAUCUUUCAUGGAAACAAGAAACAGCAAUUAAGCAUACUUUCUGGACAAAUAGAGACCUUUCUACAGGAUUUUUGUAAAGGAAUGAGCCUACCAUCAAAAGAAGCUGCAAAGCAUCGCAUGAAAGGGGAGUCUGACACGAGUGACGGUCCUGGCUACUUCAAGCAUGGUCCAUGGACCAGAGCAUCCCCAUCACGUGACAACUUGUAACAAAUGCAGAAUCUCAGGUUCCACCACAGACCUACUGAACAAGAAUCUGCAUUUUCAAUCAAAACUACAAUGAGGUACCACCUCACACUAAUCAGAAUGGCCAUCAUUAAAAA